rnacentral:rRNA from 1 species
UGAUGGCCAGGCUGUCUCCACCCGAGACUCAGUGAAAUUGAACUCGCUGUGAAGAUGCAGUGUACCCGCGGCAAGACGGAAAGACCCCGUGAACCUUUACUAUAGCUUGACACUGAACAUUGAGCCUUGAUGUGUAGGAUAGGUGGGAGGCUUUGAAGUGUGGACGCCAGUCUGCAUGGAGCCGACCUUGAAAUACCACCCUUUAAUGUUUGAUGUUCUAACGUGGACCCGUUACCCGGGUUGCGGACAGUGUCUGGUGGGUAGUUUGACUGGGGCGGUCUCCUCCUAAAGAGUAACGGAGGAGCACGAAGGUUGGCUAAUCCUGGUCGGACAUCAGGAGGUUAGUGCAAUGGCAUAAGCCAGCUUGACUGCGAGCGUGACGGCGCGAGCAGGUGCGAAAGCAGGUCAUAGUGAUCCGGUGGUUCUGAAUGGAAGGGCCAUCGCUCAACGGAUAAAAGGUACUCCGGGGAUAACAGGCUGAUACCGCCCAAGAGUUCAUAUCGACGGCGGUGUUUGGCACCUCGAUGUCGGCUCAUCACAUCCUGGGGCUGAAGUAGGUCCCAAGGGUAUGGCUGUUCGCCAUUUAAAGUGGUACGCGAGCUGGGUUUAGAACGUCGUGAGACAGUUCGGUCCCUAUCUGCCGUGGGCGCUGGAGAACUGAGGGGGGCUGCUCCUAGUACGAGAGGACCGGAGUGGACGCAUCACUGGUGUUCGGGUUGUCAUGCCAAUGGCACUGCCCGGUAGCUAAAUGCGGAAGAGAUAAGUGCUGAAAGCAUCUAAGCACGAAACUUGCCCCGA